CCUACGGGAGGCAGCAGUGAGGAAUAUUGGUCAAUGGGCGCGAGCCUGAACCAGCCAAGCAGCGUGAAGGAUGACUGCCCUACGGGUUGUAAACUUCUUUUAUAAAGGAAUAAAGUGAGGCACGUGUGCCCUUCUGUAUGUACUUUAUGAAUAAGGAUCGGCUAACUCCGUGCCAGCAGCCGCGGUAAUACGGAGGAUCCGAGCGUUAUCCGGAUUUAUUGGGUUUAAAGGGAGCGUAGGUGGGUUGUUAAGUCGGGUGUGAAAGUUUGCGGCUCAACCGUAGAAUUGCAAUUGAUACUGGCGGCCUGGAGAGCAGAUGAGGUAGGCGGAAUGCGUGGUGUAGCGGUGAAAUGCUUAGAUAUCACGAAGAACACCGAUUGCGAAGGCAGCUUACUAAACUGCAACUGACGUUGAUGCUCGAAAGUGUGGGUAUCAAACAGGAUUAGAUACCCGUGUAGUC
rnacentral:rRNA from 1 species